rnacentral:rRNA from 1 species
ACGAACGCUGGCGGCAUGCCUCACACAUGCCAGUCGCACGAGACCUUCGGGUCUAGUGGCGCACGGGUGCGUAACGCGUGGGAAUCUACCCUCAGGUUCGGAAUAACUCAGAGAAAUUUGAGCUAAUACCGGAUGAUGACGUAAGUCCAAAGAUUUAUCGCCUGAGGAUGAGCCCGCUUAGGAUUAGGUAGUUGGUGAGGUAAAGGCUCAUCAAGCCGACGAUCCUUAGCUGGUCUGAGAGGAUGAUCAGCCACACUGGGACUGAGACACGGCCCAGACUCCUACGGGAGGCAGCAGUGGGGAAUAUUGGACAAUGGGCGAAAGCCUGAUCCAGCAAUGCCGCGUGAGUGAUGAAGGCCUUAGGGUUGUAAAGCUCUUUUACCCGGGAUGAUAAUGACAGUACCGGGAGAAUAAGCUCCGGCUAACUCCGUG